rnacentral:sRNA from 1 species
CCACUUUCAUUACUUGAUUUCGGAAUUGU